CCCGCCAUUGUUGUCCUUCUCUGCUCUAGCCAAGAAGCCAUGCUCUCGCUCUCCGCCCGCCCCAUCCUCUUCCCCAAACCCAGACUCCGCCGCCUCCUCCUCCUCAGACCCCUCUCCUCCGCGCUGACGCCGCCUACUCCUCAGACCCCCACCACCCCAGCCCCCGCAGACCCGACCCCGCUCUUCCUCCGCCCGCCGACCCACCCCGUCCGGCCCGCCGCCCUCGAGGCCUUCCGCCGCCGAGCCGCCGCGCUCGUCCCGCCCUCCGCGCCGCACCUGCACCGCCACCUCCGCUGGUUCCUCGCCGACGCCUCCAAUCCCGACCCGUCCCUCCACCUCCUCCGCGCGCCGCUCGACGAGCUCGAGGCCCUGUGGCUCGCCCACGUGCGGGACAGGCGCCCGCUCCAGUACGUGGUCGGGAACGAGCACUGGGGAGGGCUCGUGGUCGCGGUCCGGGACGGCGUGCUCAUCCCGCGCCCCGAGACGGAGGCCGUGCUGGAGAUGGUGCGGGCGGUCCAGGGGUUCCGUGAUGGGUGGUGGGCCGACCUCGGCACCGGUAGUGGCGCCAUCGCCGUGGCCGUCGCCAGGAUGCUGGGGCCCCAUGGGAGGGUCUUCGCCACCGACGUCAGCGAGGUCGCCGUCCAGGUCGCCCGGCUCAACGUCCAGAGGUACGGGCUGCAGGAUAAAGUCGAGAUAAGGCACGGCUCAUGGUUCGAACCUCUAGAAGAGGUCAAAGGAAAACUCAUGGGUGUGAUUAGCAACCCUCCAUACAUACCAACUGAUGAUCUACCUGGCCUGCAACCUGAAGUCGGCUGGCAUGAACCAAAAUUGGCGCUUGAUGGAGGCAAGGAUGGCCUUGAUCAUUUGCUUCAUAUCUGUGAAGGGUUAUCUUCGGCACUCAAGCCUGGCGGUUUCUUUGUUUUUGAGACAAAUGGCAACAAGCAGUCGGAGUUUCUUGUCGAUUUCAUAAGUACAAAGUGGAGUUCUUCUUUUCGCAACGUGGAGGCAGUUUUAGACUUUGCAGACAUCAAACGUUUUGUAAGAGGAUAUCGCAAAUGAAAAGCAAAUGUGGAUGCUGAUGCAAUAUUCCAGGAAACCACUUCUGUUCCCUCGUAAUUUUUGGCCCCCAUUUGAAAAGAAAAGGCCCGUUCAAUGCUCUGGGCUGGCUUCAACGAUAAGCGAGCAACUCGAUUUCAUAAUCCCCCCUGGGGAAGCUUAUCGCUUGUGGCUUAAGCAUCUUAUUGGCAGUAAUAUAUUGCAAGUCAAUCAUGGUCGUCCUUGUGCAUGUGAGAUGGUAUUUUCUUGCCGAGCUGCCCUUCCAUGGAUGGUCCAAGGAAGCUCUAGCUGGACACGAAGUCUUGUACUAGUAGUUCACAUACAAAAAGGUGUAUCUGGCGAAUUGUUCUUUUUUGCUUGUAGGGUUGUGAUGAUGUGAUUUUGGGGGAGAAGCUUUUGUAGCCUCCAAAUUAUUCCGCCGUCCACAAGCGGGUAGUGGGCUACAUUAUUUGUCUCUGGUGAUCAUUUUUGUUCAUCCCUGUCCACUACAGAUGUAUUGUGUACGGAAGACAUAACAUGUGUAUACAUGUGACUAUAAAUAUACUGCUGCGUCCAUUC